rnacentral:lncRNA from 1 species
CUCUUUCAUACCCAAAGACUUCACUUGCUGGGCACAGGAAAAUGGAGGCCGAAAUGUAGUCUGUACUGUGGUUGCCAGGCUGCCUACGCCCGUGCCAGUAUUUAUCUAGCAAGGCUUUUUUCCUAGUUUGUUUAGAAGCAUUUUAUAUGUCAGCAAUUGCCCUUAUGUAAAUCAUACGAUGAAAAUCUUUAUGCAAACAUCGGAUUUAACAGGUUUAGUAGCCAGUGGGACUCUCCACCCUCACAAUUCAAACACCACCUGACCAAAACUGACCUGCUCUCUUCUUCCACAUAGGGGAAUAAUUUCACCCGAGCUCGUCUCCCGCGUGUGUCAACAUCCACUACAGUGCUCAGCCACAGGUUCCGGCGUGCUGUCUUCCCUCCUCCCUCACCCUCACUCCCCGUGUCAAAUCGCAGUGAGCACCCUGCUCUGGGGAGCGCCCAGCUCCCUGCUAGAUGGUCUCGGGCUCGCAGGGUGCUGCCGGCUCCACCUGCCCAGAGCUCACGGCCGCCUGCUGCUGCUGCUCACAGUCCUGACUGUCAAGGGAUUUCUCUGCCCUCCUCCGUCCUCACCGUCACCUCCUCCUCACCUCACCUGGCCAAGCUGCUCCCCCAGGGCCCUGCCUUCUGUCUGUGCAAGCCCUAGAGGUGUACGCCAUAGACUUUACCAGAUGUCGAUUGCAGUCACCUGAGUAGGUCAGGGAACGGUACCUCAUUCUAGCACUCCUACCGUAACUCCAGUGACACACGGUAUGUAUUUCUACACACUAUUAAGUUUUGGCUAAUAUUUUUUAGGUCAUUGUUACAACUUGUAAACAAUGUUCUUUAUUAUUUCUUCCGCAUACUUUCUUCAUCUGAUUUUAAUAUAAAGAUACAUCGGCCAUUUGAUAAGAUAGAAGCAUUCUCUUUUGGUCCUGUUCUUUAUAAAAAUAUACAAGGCAAG